AAAUUGAAGAGUUUGAUCAUGGCUCAGAUUGAACGCUGGCGGCAGGCCUAACACAUGCAAGUCGAGCGGUAGCACAGAGAGCUUGCUCUCGGGUGACGAGCGGCGGACGGGUGAGUAAUGUCUGGGAAACUGCCUGAUGGAGGGGAUAACUACUGGAAACGGUAGCUAAUACCGCAUAAUGUCGCAAGACCAAAGUGGGGACCUUCGGGCCUCAUGCCAUCAGAUGUGCCCAGAUGGGAUUAGCUAGUAGGUGGGGUAACGGCUCACCUAGGCGACGAUCCUAGCUGGUCUGAGAGGAUGACCAGCCACACUGGAACUGAGACACGGUCCAGACUCCUACGGGAGGCAGCAGUGGGGAAUAUUGCACAAUGGGCGCAAGCCUGAUGCAGCCAUGCCGCGUGUGUGAAGAAGGCCUUCGGGUUGUAAAGCACUUUCAGCGGGGAGGAAGGCGUUAAGGUUAAUAACCUUGGCGAUUGACGUUACCCGCAGAAGAAGCACCGGCUAACUCCGUGCCAGCAGCCGCGGUAAUACGGAGGGUGCAAGCGUUAAUCGGAAUUACUGGGCGUAAAGCGCACGCAGGCGGUCUGUCAAGUCGGAUGUGAAAUCCCCGGGCUCAACCGGGAACUGCAUUCGAAACUGGCAGGCUAGAGUCUUGUAGAGGGGUAGAAUUCCGUGUAGCGGUGAAAUGCGUAGAGAUCUGGAGGAAUACCGGUGGCGAAGGCGGCCCCUGGACAAAGACUGACGCUCAGGUGCGAAAGCGUGGGGAGCAAACAGGAUUAGAUACCCUGGUAGUCCACGCCGUAAACGAUGUCGAUUUGGAGGUUGUGCCCUUGAGGCGUGGCUUCCGGAGCUAACGCGUUAAAUCGACCGCCUGGGGAGUACGGCCGCAAGGUUAAAACUCAAAUGAAUUGACGGGGGCCCGCACAAGCGGUGGAGCAUGUGGUUUAAUUCGAUGCAACGCGAAGAACCUUACCUGGUCUUGACAUCCACAGAACUUAGCAGAGAUGCUUUGGUGCCUUCGGGAACUGUGAGACAGGUGCUGCAUGGCUGUCGUCAGCUCGUGUUGUGAAAUGUUGGGUUAAGUCCGCAACGAGCGCAACCCUUAUCCUUUGUUGCCAGCGGUCCGGCCGGGAACUCAAAGGAGACUGCCAGUGAUAAACUGGAGGAAGGUGGGGAUGACGUCAAGUCAUCAUGGCCCUUACGACCGGGCUACACACGUGCUACAAUGGCAUAUACAAAGAGAAGCGACCUCGCGAGAGCAAGCGGACCUCAUAAAGUAUGUCGUAGUCCGGAUUGGAGUCUGCAACUCGACUCCAUGAAGUCGGAAUCGCUAGUAAUCGUAGAUCAGAAUGCUACGGUGAAUACGUUCCCGGGCCUUGUACACACCGCCCGUCACACCAUGGGAGUGGGUUGCAAAAGAAGUAGGUAGCUUAACCUUCGGGAGGGCGCUUACCACUUUGUGAUUCAUGACUGGGGUGAAGUCGUAACAAGGUAACCGUAGGGGAACCUGCGGUUGGAUCACCUCCUUACCUUAAAGAA
rnacentral:rRNA from 1 species